ensembl:lncRNA
CAGAAAUGUUAAGUUUGUUCUCUUCAGCUCGCCCCAAAGCAUUCCAUUUCACACACACACACACACACACACACACACAUACACACACACACACACACACACACACACACACACACACACACACACACACACACACACACACACACACACACACACACACACACACACACACACACAUUUACUGCUAGCUAGGGCAGGUUGUGGCCUCUCUCCCAGUUCAAACAAACCAGGUGUGUUUUCUACAUUAAAAGGCCUUCUGCUGUAGUUCCACUAACGUGUUUUCUGAGGUGAAGCCUAACGUGUUUUCUGAGGUGAAAGCCUAACGUCUUUUCUGAGGUGAAAGCCUAACGUCUUUUCUGAGGUGAAAGCCUAACGUGUUUUCUGAGGUGAAAGCCUAACGUGUUUUCUGAGGUGAAAGCCUAACGUGUUUUCUGAGGUGAAAGCCUAACGUGUUUUCUGAGGUGAAUGCCUAACGUGUUUUCUGAGGUGAAUGCCUAACGUGUUUUCUGAAGUGAAAGCCUAACGUGUUUUUGUCAUAGCUACUUUUGGAAGCAC